rnacentral:lncRNA from 13 species
AUGGAGAAAGAGAAAGAAGCUCUAGGGCUGAACAUCAUCGUAAAAGAAGAAGAGGAAGAAGCUUUAAGAAUAAAAAAGGAAGAAGAGGAGACUGUCACAUUAGAAGAAGAAGAGGAGACUGUCACAGAAGAAGAAGAGUUGGAUAUUACAGUGAAAGAAGAGAAAGAACCUUUUGGAGUAAACGACGAAGAGGAGAUAGGUUUCAGAAUCAAAAAGGAGGAAGAUGCCAUAACAUUAAAAGAAGAAAAUGUAGUGAAAGAAGAGAAAGAACCUCUUGGAGUAAAAGAGGAAGAUGAGGCUUUCUCAAUUAAAGAGGAAGAUGAGGAGGAGACUGAAGAUCCUGUUAACACCAGAGAGAGACAUGACUAUUGUGGAUCCUCUGGGGAGCCUCAACAACAUCCUGAUGCUGACGAGGCAGAGAAGAGUCUCUCCAGAUCAGAACACCAGAUGGACAACGCUAGCCCUUCCUCCCUGCCGCAGUCCCCGUGUCGUUCCUCUCCCGGUAGCACCUUACUGCGAGAGGAGAAUAAGAAGAAAGGAUCCGUUUUGACUCAUCAAAGUAAGUGAUUUAGUUUAGUUUGAACAAAUACAACAGAUCUGCCCACUGGUAUCUGUUA